rnacentral:tRNA from 1 species
GACUCGGUGGCCUAAUGGUUAGCACGCUGGACUGUGGAUCGAGCGGUCUGGGUUUGAGCGCUGGCCGGGGUCA